AAAUAAUCUUCUAGUCCACUUGAGUUGGGCAAGUUAACUAGAGAAUAAAUGUGUAGUAACAUGCUCCAAAUAUCCCUGGUAGCAUAUUUCUUAAUUUAAAAUUCCUGGGGGGGCGUCUAGGGGGCUCAGUCCGUUAAGCGUCUGACUCUUGAUUUUAACUCAGGUCACGAUCUCACAGUUCGUGAGUUCAUGCCCCAUGCUGGGCUCUGUGCUGACAGUGCGGGGCCUGCUUGGGAUUCUCUCUCCUUCUCUGUCCCUCCCCAGCUCUCUCUCUCAAAAAAAAUAAACCUUAAAAAGUAAUAAAAUUCUUGGAACAAUUCCACUCAUUAACACGAACUAAUCUCAAAACCUCACAGUGUGUGUGAAAAGGCACAUCACAGAAACACGUGCACAGCACGCUGCCUACGUGUGAAGACCAAAGCCCGGCGACGUAGAGCAGGUAAAACCAAGAGAAGCACGUCCGUGAUCACCCACAGGCGGGACAGCAGCCCUGAGCCACCUGCUACGCUGCAGGUGGGCGGCUAGCGUUCCCUGCUCUUGACUCGUUAUGUCACACAAAGACUGUUGCACUUGCUCUGGGGUCAUUCGUGGGAUUAACAAUAGCAGAACUGAAAAAAUAUAUGAUAAAACAAUUGAGAAUUUUUCCUCUAAAGACCAAAAUAAGGAGAUAAACAUCCACGGAAUAAAUGAGAAGUUAUGAAGAGGCAGCGUGGGCAGGGGGGCCGGAGCAGGCCAGGCUCACAGUGAUGUUGCCCAGAGGAGCCCACCCCAAACGGGAGCCUGGCAGGUAGGCGUGAACUGGGACUAAGUUCCUCAACGCCAACGAUGGGGGCACAAGUGUGCCCGGACCCCACUUCACCCUCCGGGGAGGGCCAGCUCAGCGGAUUCUAAUGGCGCCCGCAACGGAGAUGUGCACCGAACACCGUGAGAUGUUCCUUAAAACUCCGCCCGA